rnacentral:rRNA from 1 species
GACAGAGGAUGCAAGCGUUAUCCGGAAUGAUUGGGCGUAAAGCGUCUGUAGGUGGCUUUUUAAGUCCGCCGUCAAAUCCCAGGGCUUCAACCCUGGACAGGCGGUGGAAACUACCAAGCUGGAGUACGGUGAAGGGGCAGAGGGAAUUUCCGGUGGAGCGGUGAAAGUGCGGUAGAGAUCGGAAAGAACACCAACGGCGAAAGCACUCUGCUGGGCCGACACUGACACUGAGAGACGAAAGCUAGGGGAGCGAAUGGG